UUGGUGACCAAAUGCUCAAAAUGGCUGUAUAUAAAUUUCAAUCUCAGGCAUCUAGAAACUCACCGAGUGUUCCCAGUCAAUUUCCUCAGUCUGCGGCUUCUCAGCAGCAACAUUCGCAAAUGCCAACAGAUGAUUCUAGUAAUAUGGCAAUUGAGAGUAAUGCUCAAAAGUUGCGCGAGAAUGAAUGAAUUCAAAAAC